rnacentral:rRNA from 1 species
UACGUAGGGUGCAAGCGUUGCCCGGAUUUAUUGGGCGUAAAGGGCGCGUAGGCGGCUCUGCACGUUCGUUGUGAAAUCGCCCGGCUCAACUGGGCGGGGUCAGCGGAUACGGCAGAGCUUGAGCAAGCUAGGGGGCAAUGGAAUUCCCGGUGUAGUGGUGGAAUGCGUAGAUAUCGGGAGGAACACCGGUGGCGAAGGCGGCUCACUGGCUCAUUACUGACGCUCAGGCGCGAUAGCGUGGGGAUCAAACAGG